GUCCAUGUCUUAUCAUUAUUGUUUAGGUGUCUGUGCAAAGCAAUUAAAGCAGGGAAGGAAAGGUAGUGAGUACAAAAGAAAAGAAAAGAAAACCAAAACCAACCCAAAAAAGCUACUUCCACCCCAAGUCUAGAGGAAACCUCAGGCUGGCAUAGUCAGUCCCUUAUAUACCAAGCUUCUCUCUUGUUGAUUUUAGCCUAAACCCUGGAAACUUCCCAAUUCUUACACUCCAAGAGGAUCAACCUUUCGUGUAUUGAAGGCUUGGACCGAGAAAAGAAAAGAAAUUAGCCUACAAUCUCAGAUGGGUUUAUUCAGAAAACCUUCUUUUCUCCUGUCUAAUAUCAUGUUUGUGAUUGCAGUUUUUGGAUUUUUAGUGACAGUCGUAGGUGCUGCAGAUCACACAACUCUGGUUUUCAAGGGGUGUGCUGACCAAAAAUUUCAAGACCCAUCGGGGAUCUAUGCUCAGAACCUCAGGAACCUCUUGAAUUCUCUGGUUUCGCAAUCUUCACAGAAAAUUUAUUUCACAGCAACAUCUGGUGAUGGUCAAAAUGUCAUUACGGGUCUAUACCAAUGCAGAGGGGACCUCUCUAACAAUUCCUGCCAUGCUUGUGUUAGUAAAGUCCCGGACUUGAUCGACAAGCUUUGUGGCAAAGUGGUAGCUGCCAGGGUCCAACUCAGUGGGUGUUACCUGAAGUACGAGGUUGCUGGUUUUAAGCAGGUAUCAGGAACUGAGUUGCUGUACAAGGUUUGUGGGUCAACUAAGGCGAGUGGAACCGGGUUCGAGGAUAGGAGAGAUGCGGCUUUUGAAACCAUGGUGGAUGGUGUUAAAAAUGGUAGCAAUGGGCUGUUUUACACUGGAGAGUACCAGUCAGUGUUUGUUCUGGGCCAGUGUGAAGGUGAUUUGUCAAGCGGGGAUUGCGGGGAUUGUGUGAAUACUGCUGUACAGAGUGUGAAGAGUGAGUGUGGUGACUCAAUUUCUGGGCAACUCUACCUCAACAAGUGCUAUCUUAGCUACAGCUAUUACCCCAAUGGAGUGCCUAGCAUUUCUUCAACUUCAGAGAAAGAAGAGUGGGAAAAGUGAGAUCCUAGACCCUUAAUAUAAUAAUUUUGAUCGAUGAUGAUGGUGAAUAAAAGUAAAUAGAUGUAUACAAGAAAUAGGGCGCAUGUAGAUGGAGAUGCUUUUUGUGUGAUUGAGACAGAUGUAGGGACCAGGCAGCACACACAGAGGACAGUGGCCAUUGCAGUUGGAGGAGUGGCAGCUUUGGGGUUUGGAGUUGUUUGUUUGAUGUUUGUCAGGUCUAUCUUCAAGAAAAGACUUGGUAAGCAUGAAGGUUGGCA